rnacentral:rRNA from 4 species
GGCUCAGAUUGAACGCUGGCGGCAUGCUUUACACAUGCAAGUCGAACGGCAGCACGAAAGAGCUUGCUCUUUUGGUGGCGAGUGGCGAACGGGUGAGUAAUACAUUGGAACGUACCGAGUAAUGGGGGAUAACUGUCCGAAAGGAUGGCUAAUACCGCAUACGCUCUGAGGAGGAAAGCGGGGGACCUUCGGGCCUCGCGUUAUUCGAGCGGCCAAUGUCUGAUUAGCUAGUUGGUGGGGUAAAGGCCUACCAAGGCGACGAUCAGUAGUGGGUCUGAGAGGAUGAUCCGCCACACUGGGACUGAGACACGGCCCAGACUCCUACGGGAGGCAGCAGUGGGGAAUUUUGGACAAUGGGCGAAAGCCUGAUCCAGCCAUGCCGCGUGUCUGAAGAAGGCCUUCGGGUUGUAAAGGACUUUUGUCAGGGAAGAAAGGGUUUGGGUUAAUACCCUGAGCUUA